UGCGUAGGCGGUCGGGUAAGUCUGAUGUGAAAUCUCGGGGCUUAACCCCGAAACUGCAUUGGAUACUAUUCGGCUUGAGGAAUGGAGGGGAGACUGGAAUGCUCGGUGUAGCAGUGAAAUGCGUAGAUAUCGAGCGGAACACCAGUGGCGAAGGCGAGUCUCUGGACAUUUCCUGACGCUGAGGCAAAGCCAGGGGAGCGAAACG
rnacentral:rRNA from 1 species